rnacentral:tRNA from 1 species
GCCCCGGUAGCUCAACGGAUAGAGCCACGGUUUCCUAAACCGCGGGCAGCCGGUCCGACUCCGGCCCGGGGCA